GGAUCACAUGUUGCUCUGGCUGUGGCAUAGGCUGGGGGCUAUAGCUCUGAUCCAACCCCUAGCCCGGGAACUUCCAUAUGCCUUGGGUGCAGCCCUGAAAAGGAACAAAAAAGGGAAAAGAAAAGAAAAAUGGAAUCAAAUGCCCCCUUUCCAAAAAUAUCUUCCACUCUGGGUCUUGGAAGAUAUUCUUUGCCUCAGCAAAGAAUCAGCCCAACUUACUGUGCCUUUUACAUUCAAUUUCAGUCAACUCAAAUUCUCUUGUUAAAUAAUAUACUCUGUUGACAUAUUCACUAUUGCAUCUAAUAAGGCAAAGGUGUGGGUUCUAUAGAUUUUAUAAGGUUAUUACAAAGACUGAUAUUUUAAAGAAAAACAAAGGAUUUCUGAGUAAUAGUGAUGGAUAGUUUGGGUGCUUUGCUUACAAGUAAAAGAAACCAAUUUAAACAAUUUAAGACAAAGGCAGGGGUGGGGGAGCAGCUCAUAUCACUGGAAGGAAAGACUUGAAGGACAGUAGGACAAACAGUGCUGAGAAGGACAGGGCUCAUGGCCCGGCCCCAGGGCUCUGGAGGUAGGAACUCGGGGACUGCUCUGAGGGCCCAGCCCUCAGAAUGGCUGAACCGCAGCUGGCUUCCUGCUCACCGGAGGCACAUGGUCUGGUGAAUGGUAGUGUGAACUUACCCUUGGAGACUCUCAGCUCACAGAACACCUCGGUGGGCAAACAUUUCCUCCUUUCCAACAGUUCCUGGUUGUCUUUGGGGUUAAUUGUACCUUGCCUUUCUCUCUGCAGUGAAGACAGCUCACAAAAAGGAAGCCCAUGUUAGGGGGUGUUUCAAAGGGAAAGAAAACCCCAGGAGCGAUAUAACUCUAACUAGAAAGUAACCAUUCGUAAAAGAAAGCAAUUCAGCAAGGAAGAGAUCGUUUGUGAAAAGCUGGUUAGAAUACAUCAAGUCGGUUAUUAGAGUAAGUUAGUGGCCAAGGCAGGAAUGCCAUCCUGGAGAAUGUUUUAACUUGUUUUUAGGUGUAACAAUAUCUCCGCAUCAUUAACUCUUGAGUCGGCCUUUUGAGAUGGAGGGGAGGCCUGGGAGGCUCAAGGAAAAGUCUUCCUACUUCAAAACACAAGGGCCCGGGGGCUCGUCCACGGUUUCAGCACUGGGCUGAGAGUUCCUCUGUGUACGCCGUGUCCUUGGCCGUCCUAGUGGAGAUGUGUUCUUUCUCUCCUGGGCUGGUCUGUGGGUUCAUCAGGCCGCAUGGAAGGACAGCCCCCCACCAGUCUCUGUUCUGGUCCUUUAAAGAAGAAGCAGAAAGGACUUGGGGCUGCUCUGUCUCCUCCCAGCCCCUCCUGAGGGCUCUACCUCUAUGGGAACUCCUUUUGGGAGAGAGAGAAAGGGAAGGAAACACAGCCAAGGCCUCCUUCCUGUGCCCAAGACCCGUGGGGCUUUGCCCGUUGCCAGGGUCCUAAUGGGGCUGGACACCUUCACUGCUUGAAGAAUCCACCACCCAGGCAAGACCUCAUUCCCACUCCCACCCUCCACUGGCCAACCCCCUGGGGAUACAUCAGGGAUCUUGAGUGCCCAAAAUGAAACGUGGCGCCUGGUUACCGUCCACUCCUAUUACAGGGACUACCUCUGUUUUGCUCUGUCUCUGCUUUGGUACACAGCAUAGAAAAUUACAGGGUGAAACUCCAAAAGUUUUGAGUCUAGGAAAAACCUAUCAUUGACCACCUGAGCAGCUGGGGUCAUUUUUGUCGUGGUCUGUCAUUUUGUCGUGGAUAGGAAAAAGGAAUUUUCCAGCCUAGCGAGGUGAAAAGAAAGAAGAAUUUAUUGAGAUAAGAGACACUGCAAGUGCAGUAGGUUGACUGCCUUACAAUCAGGGAGAGUGGACGGACCCUGAGCACGUGGUCAUGUCUGCUUUUAUAGCCCACGGAGAGAAGGGGGCUCAGGAUAUACCUGAGGACCUGCUGGUUGGUUGGGGAAAGGGAGUCUUAGGAUACACUUGCUGGUGGUUGGGUCGUAUAAGGCCCUAUAGAGGCAGGAGGAGGAGUGGGCCACAUACCUUUCCCAGUAGGGGCAGGAAGGAGUAGGCCAGGUUGCUCAAGGUGGGGGAGGGGGGCAUUGCCAUGAGGCGGGUGGGGCGAUGAUAAGGGUCUGGUCGUUCUUGUCUUGGCCAGGGGCUUUGAGUUCAGUCUCCUUGAAGGAGCCUUGAAGUCCCACAGUUUUCACCACAGGGGUGUCGUCUGUCUGAAGUCAACCCCAGACGGUGACCCAGACAACCCCCCCACUCAAAAAUACGACACAUCCCCUACCUUUCCCCAGAGAGGACCCCUCUGAGCUGCUGUCCUUGAGCCACUGAGGCAGGAGAGGGUUUGGCGUGGCUCCAGGACCAUUCUGUAGCAAGACGAUUUGGAGUCUGGCCACGUGCCCUCAGCCAAUGGUUCACCUUUCCCGGAAGUGACUCCCCGUAAAAACAGAUGAGUAUCCAGCAAAAGAAAGCCUGGUGCUAAGGAUGCUGCACCCCCAUAGUUGAUUUGGUCAUCCUGGGUCUCUAAACUAGGUGUGGGAGAUGGAGGGGGCUUUCUUGGGCAGUGCAGGUGUGGGAGGCAUAGGAAUCUCUGCUCCCUGCUGGCUUGAGGGCAGCAGAGAAUUCCUCGCUGGAGACAGGCCCCAGAAGCCAUCCUUUUAAGAGCUGCUAUCUGAUCACUUCAAUGUGGCUCCUUGGUAGGGGAGCUUUUUUUUUUUUUUCUCUCCUGGAGGUGGCAGAGGAGCCCAGGCUUCCAGAAGAAGCUAGUAACUUUUCCUUUUUACAACAUUUAAAAUAUUACUACCAAUACAAAUGCUUAAAUACUUAAAUCAUUGGAGAAGCUCUUGUAAUCAAACCCUUUCUACUUGAAUAUGCGAUUCCUACCAGGACACAGUGUGAAACUUCACCUUAAAUCAAUAAUUUGUUUAUAUGAUGAUCAAGCCUGCUAAUGGAAAGGCUUUGUGCUCAAUUACUGAGCUCCUACUGUGUGCCAGGCCCUGGGCUCAGCAACUAAGCAUGUAACUGAGCAGGGCCUUGUGAGGCUCCUGGGCAUACAGGUCUUUCUGUGUCCCCCAUUUCUUGUUUUUAGGGAAUAAGCUUCAGCCUCCAUGGCCUUCCCUGAGUUCCAAAGGGCAGUUGCUAAUCAGGGAAGGAAGGGGAUGCAGAGACCAGAGCAGAGCCUUCAAGACACAAUAGAGCAGCCUUGGGGCAGGAUCCUGGCUCCUCCUCCAGGAAUAUACAGAACAAUAUCCUUGAGCCCUUCUGCAGAACUAAAGCCCCCAACAAAUGGAAGAUUUAUUGAUUGAUUUAUUUUUAGGGCCACACCCAUGCAUUUGGAGUUUCCCUGGCUAGGGUUUUUAUCAGAGCUGUAACUGCUGGCCUCCACCACAGCCACAGCAAUGCAGAAUCUGAGCCACGUCUUGCAACCUACACCACAGCUCAC
rnacentral:lncRNA from 1 species